AGCAGUAGCCGCGGUAAUACAGAGGGUGCAAGCGUUAAUCGGAAUUACUGGGCGUAAAGCGCGCGUAGGUGGUUUGUUAAGUUGGAUGUGAAAUCCCCGGGCUCAACCUGGGAACUGCAUCCAAAACUGGCAAGCUAGAGUAUGGUAGAGGGUGGUGGAAUUUCCUGUGUAGCGGUGAAAUGCGUAGAUAUAGGAAGGAACACCAGUGGCGAAGGCGACCACCUGGACUGAUACUGACACUGAGGUGCGAAAGCGUGGGGAGCAAACAGGAUUAGAUACCCCUGUAGUCCCUGUCUCUUAUAC
rnacentral:rRNA from 1 species